GCCCGGGUGGUGGAAUGGCAGACACGCGGGUCUUAGAAGCCCGUAUCGCAAGAUGUGCAGGUUCGAGUCCUGUCCCGGGCACCA
rnacentral:tRNA from 1 species